AAAUAUUCAUACAACCGAGAACUUGAUUCCAUAUAUUAUGACUAAUAGUAUGCCACUGUGUGAGCGAGUGGAUAUGUGAGGUGCAUGUUAAGCUCUGCUGAGAAGUUGUGCUUUAUGCAAGAGCCACCAAGAGCCCCUUCACCAGGAGUGGUUAUGAGGACAUCUCCGGAACAUUAUGCAGACACGGUUUCACAGACGGAUUGAUCAAUUCCAUUCAUGGGCCAUCUGUGGGCACCAGGUUGAAACUACUUUCUAAAGACUUCAGAGAUCUGGAUGUUAGAUCUUACCGACGUCAGCUGGAAAAGUUGCUUGACAAGGACAUAAAAACAGACAAGAAGCAUUUUCUGCGAACAUGGAAUAGAAUCAUUUCCAAGCUAGCAUAGGUAAUAAAUGUUUCCAAAUGACGGAACA
rnacentral:lncRNA from 1 species